AAUCCAUAGGUUAAUGAGGCGAACCGGGGGAACUGAAACAUCUAAGUACCCCGAGGAAAAGAAAUCAACCGAGAUUCCCCCAGUAGCGGCGAGCGAACGGGGAGGAGCCCAGAGCCUGAAUCAGCAUGUGUGUUAGUGGAAGCGUCUGGAAAGGCGCGCGAUACAGGGUGACAGCCCCGUACACAAAAGCGCAUGUGCUGUGAGCUCGAUGAGUAGGGCGGGACACGUGGUAUCCUGUCUGAAUAUGGGGGGACCAUCCUCCAAGGCUAAAUACUCCUGACUGACCGAUAGUGAACCAGUACCGUGAGGGAAAGGCGAAAAGAACCCCGGCGAGGGGAGUGAAAAAGAACCUGAAACCGUGUACGUACAAGCAGUGGGAGCACCCUUUGGGGUGUGACUGCGUACCUUUUGUAUAAUGGGUCAGCGACUUAUAUUCUGUAGCAAGGUUAACCGUAUAGGGGAGCCGUAGGGAAACCGAGUCUUAACCGGGCGUUAAGUUGCAGGGUAUAGACCCGAAACCCGGUGAUCUAGCCAUGGGCAGGUUGAAG
rnacentral:rRNA from 1 species